GAUCCGACCGAUCCAUUUAAGCUUCUGUUAUCUUCUCGCAACUCUGUACUCCAUACUCGCCUGCCAUCUACUUUCUUUCAACGCUCCUCUCAGAGCAUCCAUCUCUCUCAGCCUUCUCCAUCUCUCUCUCUCUCUCUCUCUCUCAAACACACGGGCACACGAUCGAUCGAGCCAGUGGAGGCUUUACCCAGAACUUGCUUAAUCUCUGGCAUUCUUCCCAGUAUUUGUCGAAUCUGAAAUUAAUCAACAAAGCUGAACAAAUGAUUUGAAGAUUCAACGCAUCUUGCAGCCAAGGAACAAUCUCAAUCUGGCAUAUAGCCGUGACUGUGAAGAGUUCUCUUCCUCUGAGAUUCCGAAACCGGAGAUCCAUCCACUGUAGAUCGAGUUUAUUCCCUAUGAUACAUAUCAGUUGAUCGUUUCGCUGGACCUAAAUCGUUGACGCAAAGUUGGUCUGGGAGGAAUAGGAAAUGUUGGUGCUAUCAAUAUGCAAAAGAGAGCUAGUCAACCAUGCGCGCCCUCAACGCAUCUUUUAUGCUGCGAGAUUUAAACUGAUGGCCACUCUACCAUUGGCCACUCUGUUAUCGACGCGUGGCAAAAAAAGAAAUAGGGGUAACGUGACGUGUGGCGACGGGUGAAGAAAUCUCGUAGGUCCAAGCUGCGAGAUUUGAGAAGCCAUCGAACGGAGAGACGACGCGUGGCUGCGAGAUUACGAGCGAUCGUGACACGUGGUGAAUCUCGCAAGUCCAACCUGCGAGAUUUAAGAAACGAUCGAACGGAUAGGCGACGCGUGGCUGCGAGAUUACGGGCGAUCGUGCCACAUGGUGAAUCUCGCAGGUCCAACCUGCGAGAUUUAAGAAGCGAUCGAACGGAGAGGCGACGCGUGGCUGCGAGAUUACAGGCGAUCGUGCCACGUGGUAAAUCUCGCAGGUCCAACCUGUGAGAUUUGUUUUGCGGGCUGAAUUCCUCCCUGAGCCUUCUCAGAACACAAUCGUGCAGAGGAGAAGAGAAGAAAAGUUGCAGACCUUCCUUCGAGCUUGCAGACGACCGUUGCGUUGGCAGGUGACCGUUCGAGGUGCAGGUGACCGUUCGAGCUCGGGUGAAGGCGAGGCGAGGUUAUUUAAGAGCCGAAGAUGGGGUAUGUUAUUUAAUAUUUAGAAAAAUAACGUGAAUAUUUUAUUUAACUUACUGAGAUUUAUAUGAGAUAAUUGUUUAUGUUUUGAGUUGGUUUGAUAUCACACGCCGCGUUCCGAGUAUUAGGGUUCGUUGCUGCAUCUAGAGGAAGGUUAGUUUUUUUAAUUAAUAAUGUCAUUAUAGUUUAUCUUUAAUAGUAUUUGUAUAUACUCUGCAUAAUCAUUUAAUUUUUUAACAAUAUAAUCUGAAAAUUUGAAAUAAAAAAAAAGUAUAUUGAUCAAAUAUUUAUGCUUCAAAUUAUAUCUUCAAUAUUUUAAAUUUACAUAUUCAUUAAUAUCAAAGAAGAAAUAGUGUUUAGGACAUUUGUUUGUUUGUAUUUUUUGUGUUGUUUGUGGGUCUUAACUCACUUUGAUAAGGUUAUUUUGGAAUGCACAAUGCCAUUUCUAAUGGGUAUUACAAGUUCUUCCUAAUUCGUAACAAAUGAUUAAAGUAACUUAUUUUAAAAUAGUUUUAGUGACAAAUCUGUAUUUAACUCAGGAAAUUAGAUUAUGAUAUAUUUCAUGUGAAUGAAACCAUGCUUAAAGAAGACUGGUCGAGUUGGGAGCCUAAAACCUAUAGUUGAGGGUUUGUUAGGGUUUAAUAAAUGGCAUAUAGUUAAAAAGAGAAAAAAAAAAAAAGGAAGAAAAUUAUUUUUUAUUACAUAUAAUUUAAAAUAAAAAUGAAUCAUAUUUGAAUAAUUUUUGGUUCUUAACUGUAUGGAGAAAGUAUAAUGAAAAAAUAUAUGUAUUUCUAAUAGAGUCAUUAACCUAAACAAACCCUAACUAGUCCGGGAUUGAGAGCUUUGCAUCCUCAUGUCAUGUUAUUGAGGUUGAAAUGACACCAUUUUCUUGUUAUGAUUAAAACUUAAACCAUUUUUUACCCACUUCUAUAUUUAUUUUAAUAACAUGACAAAUGAAAAUGUAUAUGAAAAUAGGAAUGUGAAUAAGAAAUGGGAGUCUUAUGAUCCACUAUGAAUAUACAUAAGUUAAAAUUUUGGUCAAAACAAGUCAAAAUAUCAUUGACUAUCUUCUUACUACUUCUCUAAUUUAAUUUCAAUCUUCCAAAAUAUAAAUUUUACAUCCCAAUGAGAAGCCCUCCAAAUUUGGAAUUCAAAAACUAUAUAUUGAAAUCAAGCCAUUUGCACUUUAGUGAAGUUUUUUUAAAAUUUAUAAAAAUUUCAUUGAUCUUCCUCGGGAUUUCAAAAGUAUUAUAAAAUUUUCUAUUGUAUAAUUAUCUUAUAGUAACAAAUAAGUUGUAGUUUGUUGAUCUAUAAAUGCUUAAUAAUAAAGUUAAAGGGUUAUAUUUAAGUUAAUUUAACUUGUUCAACAUUAGUCUUUUAUACUCAUAUUGAGUGUGCUCCAUGCCAAAAUCAUACAAAUUUUUUUGUUAGAGUACAAUCCAAUCUACUACACAUGACUAUGAUUUGUUUGUGUUUGGAAUUUGAUAAUACAAACUAUAUAAAUGACAAAAGGUAUGUGGUUAACUAGUUGCCUUUGGGAGAUAAUGAAUCUCAUUUUCUUUCUUAUGUAUAAAAAAUAACUUUCUAAAUUAGUGACAAGAUGAGUUCAUUAGAGAUAAAUGAUAUAUUAAAAAUAAUUUUUUAUUAAUGUUUGGAAGCAAUGUGAAUAUGAAAAGGAGCACGCAUAUAAGUUGAAGGAAUUAUAAGUUAAUUGUUUAGUAUACACUCAAUGGCACAUGAUGUUGCUUAAGCUUUUGAAUCUAUAUUUGAGAUAUGUAUAUACAUACAUAUAUAUAAAAUUAAUUUUAUUAUAUAAUAUAAAAUAUAAAAUGUCUUUUACUUUUUAUGAAAUAUUAAAUAAAUAUUUGUGACACACGCAUUAAUUGAAGGCUUGGUUACAAAAAAAUUUCAAAGAUAUUAUAUGUUAUAUCUAAAAGUAUUUGUUUUCUAAGCGCGAAUUUAAAUGCCUCCUGCAUGGCUGAUGUAGUGAUGUGAAUUGCAUGCUGGUAAAUAUCAUAGGUUCUCGCAUGCUUCAACUAUAUUAUUAUAUUGUCUGCAAAUCUUUAAGGGCCAUUGUAAAAAUUGGUCAAUGUUCAAAUUACACUUGGCAUGCUGCCUAAAUUUCGAUACGACAUUUUGUAGAGAAGUCAGAAUUGCAUGCAAGAAUAUUUUCAAAGUGACAAGUGAAACGUUUAGAGAAUAUAAUGUGCACAUUAAUGUAUUGAAAAUAAUUCUUGUUCACUAUUCACUUAGCAUAUGACUUAUACAUAAAAUUAUUGUUUUGCGUAGGUCUUUUAUAUUUACCGGGCGUCAAUCUAGAUGGCAGGAAGUUCAAGCAGUAUUCCGAUUCCGGUAUUGUUGUACAUGGGGGGUAACAUUAUAACCGGCCAAACCGGUGUUAGUUAUAGUAUUCCGCCAGUUCAACCUAUUAUAAUUGGUCAUAGGUGUAAAUUAACUAAAUUGCAUACGAAGAUAUACAAGUAUUUGCAAAUUGAUCCAAAUCAAAAUGAAUUGCGGCUAACCGCAAGAUACCCGAUUAAGGGGCAUCAUGAUACAAUCUUCUAUGAGGUUGUUCUCGUAACUAGUGAUUACGGUUUGCGCAUGGUGUUGGAUGCACACUGUGUAGGGACGACAUAUUUGACUGUGCAACUGUGUGUUGAACUCAUUCCUCGGAUGGGUGUCGCCGCACAUGGGCAGCCGGGAACGUCUAUUGAGCACGUGGUUGAAGCGGAGGAAGAUGCAGAUGUUGGUGGGAUGCCUGUUGUGGAUAUGAACGAAUGUCCACGAUCGUCAUUCGAGGCACAAACGUAUGAAGGAACUACUAUCCAUACGAAUUAUCAUGGUGUUUGCGAAGAUGUUUCAGCAGAACAACCAGGAUCGUUGUUCGCAAUAGCGAACAACGUGUUGGACGUGGGGAUGAACAUCACGAACGAUGUUCAUUUACAAGAUGACACGUACGAGGAGGAAAUUGGUGAAGGGACGAACGAGUUCCCCGAUGAUGUCGACCCACCCCCCGUUAAUCGAACGAUGGCACGGAUACGACAGAUUUCAUGGACGAACCUCCUAUGUAUGGUGUAAUUGACGUAGAGGCUGCAAAUUUGUCCCAUGGUGACGAGCUUCCUAUACGGGUAACUCGUUGGGAUGAAUCAUCAGAACUGAGUCAAGGGAUGCUAUUUGGGUCGAAAGAUCAAUUGAUAGCUGUUGUGCGAAUAUACCACGCUCGAACGCACCAUGACUUCUACGUCCUGCAGUCGACCCCACUAUUAUGGGUUGUUAGGUGUAAGAACUUUGAAUGUAGUUGGAGACUGCGUGCGAUGUAUCGUCAGAAACAUCGAUUCUUCGAAAUCACUCAAUAUGGUUGUCCGCACACAUGCUUGAAUGAACUCCUCUCGCAAGACCAUAGCCAAAUCACGUCGUCCCUUAUUGCUAGUGAGGUUGUGCAUAUGAUAAGGGGUGAUGCGUCGACCUUAAUCGCUACAUUGAAAGAAUUCAUAGAUCGUCGUUUCGGCUAUUCCAUCUUAUAUAAGAAAAUUUAGUUAGGCAAACAGAAGGCAAUUGCCCAAUUAUUCGGCGAUUGGGAGAAGUCUUAUCAGACGUUGCCUAGGUGGAUUGAAGCAAUGUGUACUUAUAAUCCUGGUACUGUCGUAAAGUGGAGGUGGAACCCUAUACCAGGUAGCGAUCAGACCGUUACAUUUGUAUCAGUCUUUUGGGCGUUCGCAGCAUCUAUUCAGGGUUUUCCCCACUGUCCUCCUGUGAUAUGUAUAGAUGGGACACACUUGUACGGUAAGUACAAGGGAAAACUCCUUAUUGCGACGUGCCCGGAUGCAAAUAGGCAAAUAUUUCUCCUUGCAUUCGCUAUUGUGCAAGAGGAAAGUUUGGACACAUGGAAUUGGUUUCUAUGUUGUCCUUGUUCCAUUACCGAUAGGGACGACAUUUGCCUUAUAUCAGAUAGGCAUCCAGGGUUCAUCGCUGCAGUGUCUCACAAUCCCGAUUGGUAGCCACCGCGUGCACACCACCGAUUCUGCCUUCGACACGUUGUAAGCAACUUCAGCACGAAAGUGCACAGUGUCAAUCUGAAGCGAAUGGCUGAGCGGGCGGGAAGGGAGCAUCAUGUCAGAAAGUUUAACAUGUGGAUGGAGAAGAUCUUCAAUGAGGGUGGGGAACCCGCAAAGAUGUUCUUCGAUCAAAUCGCUCCUCAUAUGUGGACUCAGUGCCACGACGGGGGCAGAAGGUAUGGGAACAUGAUGACAUACCUCGUCGAAUGUUUCAACGCCGUCCUUAAGGGCGCUCGUAGCCUCCUAAUCACUGCCCUUGUGCAACUGACAUUUUAUCGCGUUGCACAUUAUUUCAAUAGUUGAUGUGAGGCUGCUCGUAAUGCAAUAUCAGGAGGAAAUGCAUUAACUCCUCAUACAUUGCUUGUGAUGGAAAGAAGGAAGUUAAAGGCGACCGGACAUCUCGUGACGACGUUCAACCGGUCUAGAGGUACUUUCAGCAUCACGACUGCGCAGUUGGGACCUCAUAAAGGAAAUAACGUGCAAACGCUGUGCAUUCAGGAUUUGCACGGCUGCUCGUGUGAGAAGUGGCAAGCCUUAUACUUUCCAUGCUCCCACAUUUUCGCUGCAUGUGCGGAGACACGACUCAACGCCAUGCAGUAUGUUGAGCCUUGUUGGACCACCGCCGAACAUUAUGCGACAUAUGCGGCAGAUUUUCAGCCGAUUAUGCACGAGGCGUAGUGGCUAGCAUCGUCUUUGCCGACUAUACAGGUAAAUCCAGCGUAUGCUCGACAUAAAGGUCGUCCAAGGAGCUCCCGUAUACACAAUGAGAUGGACGCUAGGGAAGGUAGAAAAGGAGCACGUGCAGUAUAUGUCAUCAAGAAGGGCAUAAUCGCACAAGGUGUCCGAGAAGGACCCACUCGGGCGAUGCAGCGGGACCGUCGCGUUGAUUUCGUAUGCAGUUUUAUACAAUUUGACACCGGUUCUUUUUUAUUUAUACCUAUUUUGAUGCAACGAUGCAUUUACAGGAUUGAUCCAGGGCCGUCCGAUCCGAGCGUUUUGACGAUGGGCGAUCAUCACAGGGCCAGCCGAGCGUGGGCUGAGGGGCAUGCGGAGCCCUUGUGCUGCCGAGGGGGCACGCAGUUUGCCGAGCGUUGGUUAGAGGCAGACCCCCGCAUUGUCCAGGUGAUACGCGAUGCGAGAUUUUAUGGCAUUUAUCGGAUUGCUCAUAUCCAGCUUGAUUGGCAUCUUGUCACAUCAUUGGUGGAGCGAUGGAGAUCUGAGACACAUACGUUCCACCUACCUCAUGGUGAGGCCACCGUCACAUUACAGGACGUAACUAUUUUGUUCGGGUUGCCGAUUGAUGGGCGAGUUGUGUCAUUGGUCGCACUGUCGGACCAGUGGAGGGACCUACAGACCGUUAGGGUCGACUCGCCCUGCGUACUAUGUGCGAGCGUUUGUUAGGCGUUGUUCCGCCUAACAGCGAGUUGGUUGGUGCACGCAUCCAUAUGCGGUUCCUUGAGGGGGAUGCGUUUCGUGAGCUCCCGGCACAUGCAGAUGUUCAGACAAUAGCAUGCCACGCACGAGCCCACUUGUUGCGUUUGAUUUGUGGGGUGAUCUUCUCGGAUGUUUCCAGUAAUGCGCAUCUUAUGUUCCUUCCACUUCUUGAGGACUUCGGAGCAUGUCACUCGUACAGUUGGGGGUCUGCCACUUUGGCAUGGUUGUACAAGGAGAUGUGUCGCGCCGCACACCACUCGAAGACACAGAUUGCGGGCCCUCUUCGCUUACCCCAGGUUUGGGCUUGGGAGAGAUUUCCUUCAUUCGCGCCUACGCGGUGAGGUUUCCUGCAGAUUGAGAGGGGUCAGGACGGGCGUCCGGUUGAUCCUCUCCCACUCGCAUGUCGAUGGAGGGACAACUUGAGGGCAUCGAUGGUUGCGCUUCACAUAUUGCCCUGGUACAGGUUCGAGUUGGACAUGCACCGGGAGCAUGAGUUUAUAUGGAUGCCCUACAUGGAUGAGAUUUUAGCCGACAUGCCGCCUGCCUAUGUAGAAGGGAGGGACCUGUGGGUAGCGUGAGUGCCACUCAUAUGCUUUCAUAUUAUUGAGUGGUAUCUCCCCGAUCGAGUCAUGCGACAGUUCGGGUUUCGACAGGUUAUUCCCGUCCCAUUUAUGACUUCGGGGGUAGAUAUUGUUGGGAACGAUCUCCACGGCAUGGAUGGACGCGGUCAAGGGUUCACAGACUGGUCGAGUACGCACGCGAUAUUCGUCACUGCGUGGGAGCAUCGGCGAGACUACAUCGUACGAGGAGUGGCGGAGCACAGUCCGAUGCGUCUAGAUGACCCAUACUUCACUUGGUAUAGGUCUAUCACACGCCGCUUCGUCGACAGGACCGCAGCUGUAUAUUUGAGCCUCGCUGACAUAGUCAUUGAGGCAGAGCAGAUCUCGUCAGAUCCUGCGAUCCACCGAUUGAUGCGUGCUGCACUGGACCUCGUCCACGAGAACGGUCGACGGAUCCCAGAACGAAGAGGUCGACCUGAUGUACCAGCACGAGGAGGUCGAUCAGCUCCAGUACGAGGACGACAUGCUUCCUCUAGUCGUCCAGGGACUCCCAUGUCCUUCCUACCAGUCGUACAGGCCGAGUACUUGUUUGGCCCGUCAGCGCCUUAUGCGCCUUCCACUGCAGCUCAUAUUGUCGGACCAUCGAGCAGACCGACUGAUGCCCCAUCCGACUCUGCUGCUACCCCAUCCAUGUCAUUAUUAUUGGACGAUCUUUUCGAUGGGGUAGAGGUCGAUGCACCCCCUAGGCCGCCUCGUUCUCGUCCCGAGACAUCGUAUCAUUUCUCACCGCGUGCGCUACGCAUGGCUGAUGAUGAUGAUGCAGCACCUCUUGGGGGAGAGGAUUCACAUCCAGCACGACGGGCCAGGACACCUGAUGAUGUUGACGAGCAGGGAGAGGGUAGACGCAGACGGCAGCCACCACGACCUCGCUGCGGCACGGAGUAGUUUAACAUUACUUUAAUUGCAUUUUAUUUGUAUGUAUAUCAUUGAUUGUUUUGAUUUCAUUUGUAUAUAAUUGAUUAUUUUUUUUCUUUCUUUUGUAUAUAUCAUUUAAUAAUUCGUAUCUCUAAAAAAUUCAAUACUGCCAAAUCUAAAAAAUGACACAUAAUUCGUAUCGUCUAAA